GAUGAAGAACGCAGCGAAAUGCGAUACGUAGUGUGAAUUGCAGAAUUCAGUGAAUCAUCGAAUCUUUGAACGCACAUUGCGCCCGCCAGCAUUCUGGCGGGCAUGCCUGUUCGAGCGUCAUUUCAACCCUCGAGCCCCCCCGGGGGCCUCGGUGUUGGGGGACGGCACACCAGCCGCCCCCGAAAUGCAGUGGCGACCCCGCCGCAGCCUCCCCUGCGUAGUAGCACACACCUCGCACCGGAGCGCGGAGGCGGUCACGCCGUAAAACGCCCAACUUUCUUAGAGUUGACCUCGGAUCAGGUAGGAAUACCCGCUGAACUUAAGCAUAUCAAUAAGCGGAGGA
rnacentral:misc_RNA from 1 species